UGGCUGAACCAGCAACUUGGAGGAAUGUAUGGGGAAAACUGGUAAAAUGUAAUGUACCUAAUAGUAUUAGUGAUUAAUAUGAAGUUAACUGAGUUAAUUAAAAUUCAGAGUAGAUAUGUGAUUAUGACAAUAUUUGCUUAUUUCUUGACCAAGUCACGUGCCAGCAGUCGCGGUAAUACGUGGUAGAUCAGUGUUAUUCAUCUUUAAUAGGUUUAAAGGGUACCUAGACGGUUAAUUAAGCAUAUUUGUGUACUAAUUAUUAACUAGAGUUUAAUGUAAGAAGGAUUGAGUACGGUGAGUGUAGAGAUAAAAUUCUGUCAUACCACUUAGGAACUGGUAAAGGCGAAGGCAACCUUUUAUGUAAAAACUGACGUUAAGGGACGAAGGCUCGUAUUAAGUAAUAGGAUUAGAGACCCUAGUAUUGUGGGCAGACAAUGAUGAGUGUCAUAUGCAAGAGAAUAAUAAAAAUUUUGUGUAUAAAUGAAAGUGUAAGCACUCCACCUCAAGAGUAACGUGGCAACACGGGAACUGAAAUCAUUAGACCGUUUCUGAAACUCGUAGUGAAGUAUGUUGUUUAAUUUGAUGAUCCACAAAUAACCUUACCACAACUUGAAUUUCUAGUGCUUUUACUUUAAACACUUAGUUGUUUUUUUUACUAAUAGUUUAGCUUUUCUGUUAGUACUUUCUACAUAACUAAAAAGUGUUUAUGUGUAAUGUAUUAGUAACAAGCGUUGCACGGCUGUCUUCAGUUAAUGUUGUGAAACUUUGGUUAGAUCCAUUAAAUUGACGUAAACCCUUGCUUUAUUUGUUAUAAAGCAGUUCGCCGCUAUAUUGGUAAUGAUAUAAGGGACUAAGACAAGUCAUCA
rnacentral:rRNA from 1 species